rnacentral:rRNA from 1 species
UACGGGGGGAGCAAGCGUUGUUCGGAUUUACUGGGCGUAAAGGGCGCGUAGGCGGUUGACCAAGUCUGGGGUGAAAUCUUUCGGCUUAACCGGAAAAGUGCCUUGGAAACUGGUCAGCUGGAGGGAGGUAGGGGCAGCUGGAACUUCCGGUGGAGCGGUGAAAUGCGUAGAUAUGCGGAGGAACACCGAUGGCGAAGGCAAUCCCCUGGGCCUGCACUGACGCUCAUGCACGAAAGCGUGGGGAGCAAACAGG